GCAUUGAUGGUUCAGUGGUGAAAUUCUUGCCUUCUAUGCGGGAGACCUGGUUCAAUUCCUGGCUAAUGCA
rnacentral:tRNA from 1 species